GUAAAGAAAGAAGGAGAGAAUCAAGAAACCUACAGAUACGGAGCAGGGGUCAAGGGAGGCAGAGCCAAUGAGCCUACACCAGACAACUAGAUCUGCCAAUGAAGUAUCGAGUAGAGGACUACAGAGCCAGGAAUCAAAAGGUAAUACAGCCAUCAGAUGCUGACCUUGCUACAUUUUCUACAAAUAGAAGAUGAUUCUAUUUGUAGUUUCUGCCAGUUUCUGCAUGGUGCAGGCCUAGCUCAUCACGUUU
rnacentral:lncRNA from 1 species